rnacentral:rRNA from 1 species
UACGUAGGGUGCAAGCGUUAAUCGGAAUUACUGGGCGUAAAGCGUGCGCAGGUGGUGAUGUAAGACAGAUGUGAAAUCCCCGGGCUCAACCUGGGAACUGCAUUUGUGACUGCAUCGCUGGAGUACGGCAGAGGGGGAUGGAAUUCCGCGUGUAGCAGUGAAAUGCGUAGAUAUGCGGAGGAACACCGAUGGCGAAGGCAAUCCCCUGGGCCUGCACUGACGCUCAUGCACGAAAGCGUGGGGAGCAAACAGG